AUGGAAAUGUUGGAUGAUCUCAUUGAGGAUUUGGGAUAUGAGCACAAAGGGAAAAUAAAGACCUAUUUGCUCCUGCUUGGUAGUCAAACAAAUGAAGAUGAGCUUCGGUUGAUCUCAAAGAACAGUGACAAAAACUGCAUUUGCGCAAUGGUUAAAGAGGGACAUAGGUAUCACAUGUUCUAUCUAGAACGCGUAAAUAACGUCAAUGCAGAAUGGGAUGAUGUUUUUUUAAAACCCUGCUACACACUUGCCUGCUACUAUCAGUCCUAUGAAAUGCAGAAGAGAGGAGAAGCAGGACAAUGGUGCAGAUAUGAGCAUUGGGCCAGAUCAGAGCAUUGGGGCAUGCUGUUUUACAGAUAG
rnacentral:rRNA from 1 species